rnacentral:rRNA from 1 species
GGGGAAUAUUGCGCAAUGGGGGAAACCCUGACGCAGCGACGCCGCGUGAAGGAAGAAGGUCUUCGGAUCGUAAACUUUUGUCAUCGGGGACGAGAAAGGACGGUACCCGAGGAGGAAGCCACGGCUAACUACGUGCCAGCAGCCGCGGUAAUACGUAGGUGGCGAGCGUUGUCCGGAUUUACUGGGUGUAAAGGGCGUGUAGGCGGGUAGGUAAGUUGGGUGUGAAAUACUGCGGCUCAACCGCAGGGUUGCAUUCAAAACUACUUAUCUUGAGUGCCGGAGAGGGAAGCGGAAUUCCUAGUGUAGCGGUGAAAUGCGUAGAUAUUAGGAGGAACACCAGUGGCGAAGGCGGCUUUCUGGACGGUAACUGACGCUGAGGCGCGAAAGCGUGGGGAGCAAAC